rnacentral:rRNA from 1 species
GACAGAGGGUGCAAACGUUGUUCGGAAUUACUGGGCGUAAAGCGCGUGUAGGCUGCUCGGAAAGUCGGAUGUGAAAGCCCUGGGCUCAACCUAGGAAGUGCAUUCGAAACUUCCGAGCUGGAGUGCUGGAGAGGAAGGCGGAAUUCUCGGUGUAGAGGUGAAAUUCGUAGAUAUCGAGAGGAACACCGGUGGCGAAGGCGGCUCACUGGCCCGAUACUGACGCUGAGGCACGAAAGCGUGGGGAGCAAACAGG